GGCGUUUGGUAACCGGCAUGGCUGCUACCUGUUUCUGGCUGGAGCCUCGGACACUGGCUCACUGCAGUUGGUGGUGUCCACAGAGCGGUAGGAGGGCAACUAGUAGCGGGAGCUUCUCCUGCCAGGCAGGAAGACGAGUAGAAGGGAGCAGCACCGACGCAUGCUGGAGGCUGGAGCCUGAGCCCCUGGGGCUCGCCUUGCUGUGUUUGGUGGUGACGUGGGACACUGCAGCUCGGCCAGAGUGGUAGAAAUGUCCUGGUGUAGGCUUUUCUGGCUUUGCCGGUCUAGCUGCUCCAAGCCAGGCUGGAGGAGGAGGAGAAGGAAUCACCUGUGGUACGCUGGAGCCUGCAUGUGGCGUGACUCUGCAGCUCGCCUCGUGUGACUGAUGGCAGCCACGGAGACUGCAGCUCGACAGGAGUGGUAGGAGGGUGCCCGCGGGGGCAAGGUGGUAGGAACCUUGUAGGGUGGGCUGCUGCAUUGACGGCGACAGCAACUGUAUUGGCAUUGGUGCUAGUGGUGGUAGUGGCAGAAAGUCUGGGGACUGGGAAGGGGGAGUAGGAGCACUGCAGGGCCCAGUCCGACCUGGGGUGGGGAGGAACCUGCUGGUGCUGUACCAUGGGCCUCGGUGGCAGUGGUGGAGGUGCACUUAGGGAAAGGAGUCCUCCCCCUUCUCUUGCAAUCUCUGGAGGGUGGCCUCCUUCUGAGCCAGGCAUGAGUGGCAGCAUUGUCUCAUUCUUAACAAAAUUUAGGGGGUGACUGUGUGUGUGUGUGUGUGUG
rnacentral:lncRNA from 1 species